AACGAACGCUGGCGGCAUGCCUAACACAUGCAAGUCGAGCGCCCGUAGCAAUACGGGAGCGGCGCACGGGUGAGUAACGCGUGGGAACCUGCCCAGAGGUCUGGGACAACCGCGGGAAACUGCGGCUGAUACCGGAUGAUUCCUGAGGGACAAAGAUUUAUCGCCUUUGGAGGGGCCCGCGUCGGAUUAGGUAGUUGGUGGGGUAACGGCUCACCAAGCCUAUGAUCCGUAACUGGUCUGAGAGGAUGACCAGUCACACUGGGACUGAGACACGGCCCAGACUCCUACGGGAGGCAGCAGUGGGGAGUAUUGGACAAUGGGGGCAACCUGAUCCAGCAAUGCCGCGUGGGUGAUGAAGGCCUCGGUUGUAAAGCCUUUCGCGGGGACGAUGAUGA
rnacentral:rRNA from 1 species